rnacentral:lncRNA from 1 species
CAGCUCUAUUAGAUACCAUUGGAAAUAAACACCUAUUCUGUCCUUACCGAGACAGAUGGAUACGAGUACCCAGGACAAGCUAGCCAGUAUCAUGCUGGCAGCUCUCCCCUGCAGGGUGAAGAGUCUUCUGCUCCCAUCUGGGUUCUCCUCUCCUUGGUGACAACUCUUCACAACAGGAAAUGAUAUCACAGCUCUCUUAAACACUGGUGCAGCAGCUACUUAGCAGCAGUGGGACUGGAGGAGGCUUCGCUGUGAGUUGCUGGACACUGAGACUCCUGACCUGGAAGCUGUAAGAUGUCUAGUGCUGCCAUGGGCUUUGCGUUGAAAUUUUUCCAUCCUCUGUGGAGAAUAUAUUCUGGUGCCUGGUUUGGAUACUGUCGAAACCAGUAGAGGAUAAUAGAGCCUGUAGAGGAAACAUCAUAAUCAUAAAAUGGAAACAGGAAAGAAUGAAAAAGAAACUUUCCCCAUUCCAGCUGCAGGUUCUCUUCAAAAACAGCAGAAUCUCUGGUUUCUAAAUUGGGGCCAAAUGAGAGCAAAGGAAGGCCAAACAGCUCGGUUUUCACAUCAAAAGAUACUGCGUGAUGAUACUUUGUCGUGAAUUUCAAGAACAUUUUAUUUUUGAAGAAAAAUACCACUUUUUAAUUUUAAC